AUACAUCCCACCCAGAGAAACGAUCUCGCCUCAGAUGAUACUUGUCAUCUGUGAGACCACCCCUUUAGCUAGAGUUAACCACUUGAGCAGGUUUCAAUUUUGUCUCUGAAAGUAGGAAGCUAUCAGUCUCCCUACAUGACUCGUUCCACCCUUUGUGGAUACUUCUACCUGUAGAAAAAAAGGUUGGCAAACUUGGUGGCAUGGUGAGGACAAAGGGCAUUUUGAAAGAACCAGUGACUGAGGUCAGAGUGGGGAGCUGGUGUUAGCUGUGGGAUUCACUGCAGCGUCCUACCACAAAGGCAAAGAAGAUGAAAAUGCAGCGUGCAGUGCUGGGCUUGAUUCCCAAGUCGCAGUCGGGCUCCCGCUAUGAUGCAAGACAUUGUGAUUUUGACCUUGUUGGAUGCUGCACCUAAAGGUGGAUGGAAGAGGAAGAGUCUUGGGGGCUACCAUCCUGGCUGGAGAAGCUGGCACGAGGCUCCCUCUUGUGGAUGCAGCAAGUCUGAGGGCCAAGGGAAGAGAAGAGUGACAUAGAAUCUCCUUUCCUUGAGAUCUUAGAAUCACGCCUGCCUCCUUACCUCCAUCCAGGACUGUUAAAAAUCUCCCAAGGCAGAGACUUUUAGGCCUACAUGUACUUAGCCUCCUCUUCCCACCUCCUGUUCAUCUCUGUUUCCAAUGUUCCACUGCCAUCACUGCCAGGAAGUUCUGCAGAGAAGAAUGAAGAAGAACCGUAUGAUCCUAAACAUGUUCUUUGAAGAUAUUAUCAACCCACCAUUGGCCUUAUUUACUGGAAUGUUUUUAUAACCUUUAUUUGACACCUCUUCCCAUCAUUUAAAAUAAAUCUGGUGCUUCCCUGAAUAA
rnacentral:lncRNA from 1 species